ACAACGUCAGUGCAUCUGCUUUGAAAGGACAGUCUUUUUCCACAGUGAACGCUCUCUCUCUCUGACAGAUCUAUGAAUCUGCAGUACGUGCUCAUGACAGACGUCAGGUACAGAAAGCAAUGCGUACACCUCAGAGACGACCGCGUGGUAAAGUGACGUCGACCACCCACUUACAUGAUGGGCAGUGUAAAUCUUCCCUAGGACAUAAAUCACUGUCUGAUCACUUGAAAGUUCAAGUGUUGAAGCCCGUUGGAGCAGAAAAUCCCUGGCUUUCUGAAUACAUGAGAUGUUAUUCAUCACGCUCACUCUGAGUCUGAACAGCUUCCUGUUGAAUAGAGUGUGGGCCAGUAGAAUAGUUUAUUUAUUCAGGUCUGUUUUGGGCUCAGUGACGGGCCCUAAUUGGAGUCUGUAUAUGAGGGCUGAUUCAUGGGAAACCCAUAACUAGCAAACACGGGAAUUGUUUUGCUGAUUUGUAGAGUAGACCCAGUGAUAGUAUUGGUGUUUUGUCUUCGCAUCGCGACAUGGCAACAGGAGCACAGAGGCCCAUUUCGGACUUGGGGAAUUUAUUCCCUUGUGUUGCAGUUAUUUUCUAAACUGAUUAUUGACUGUUCUGAUUACUGUCAGUUGUGCAAUGUGUACUAUUGAGAGUUUCAUUAGUGUAUAUAUAUGGUCGGUAGCACAUGAAUUUCUGUAAACUCAAUGUUAUUUUGCACAAAUGGCUCAAUUGCACUGGUAACCGUUAUCUAUGGUUUUGUCAGUUUUUUUUAUAACUAUAUGCACUAUCAUGAGUGCACCUCUUGGAACGUUCAUUGGACUUUUUUCUAUAGGGCUUCAUAUUUGUAACCUUUUUACACUUGUAGGGUUCUCUCUUGUCAUUGUAGAUAAUCUGGUCACUAUCACAUUGCUGUUUUGUACAUUUACAACAGUGACUGCUUGUCAAAAGUACCUAAUUGAUUUGUAAAGCACUUUGGACAGUCUGAGAUUUGUGAACUUGCUGUAAAUAUAUGGCCUUGCUUCUUAUGUUGUGCCUGCUCAGUAAAUGAAUUUAUAUUUGUGA